rnacentral:rRNA from 1 species
AACCUGCCUCAGAGAGGGGAUAACACACCGAAAGGUGUGCUAAUACCGCAUGAUACAGCUGGGAGGCAUCUCCCUGGCUGUCAAAGAUUUAUCGCUCUGAGAUGAGCUCGCGUCUGAUUAGCUAGUUGGCGGGGUAACGGCCCACCAAGGCGACGAUCAGUAGCCGGACUGAGAGGUUGGCCGGCCACAUUGGGACUGAGACACGGCCCAGACUCCUACGGAAGGCAGCAG